AGAAGGCCUUCGGGUUGUAAAGCCCUUUUGUUGGGAAAGAAAAGCAGUCGGUUAAUACCCGAUUGUUCUGACGGUACCCAAAGAAUAAGCACCGGCUAACUUCGUGCCAGCAGCCGCGGUAAUACGAAGGGUGCAAGCGUUACUCGGAAUUACUGGGCGUAAAGCGUGCGUAGGUGGUUGUUUAAGUCCGUUGUGAAAGCCCUGGGCUCAACCUGGGAAUUGCAGUGGAUACUGGGCAACUAGAGUGUGGUAGAGGAUGGCGGAAUUCCCGGUGUAGCAGUGAAAUGCGUAGAGAUCGGGAGGAACAUCUGUGGCGAAGGCG
rnacentral:rRNA from 1 species